UCCGUAGGUGAACCUGCGGAAGGAUCAUUACCGAGUUGAUUCGAGCUCCGGCUCGACUCUCCCACCCAAUGUGUACCUACCUCUGUUGCUUUGGCGGGCCGCGGUCCUCCGCACCGGCGCCCUUCGGGGGGCUGGCCAGCGCCCGCCAGAGGACCAUAAAACUCCAGUCAGUGAACUUCGCAGUCUGAAAAACAAGUUAAUAAACUAAAACUUUCAACAACGGAUCUCUUGGUUCUGGCAUCGAUGAAGAACGCAGCGAAAUGCGAUAAGUAAUGUGAAUUGCAGAAUUCAGUGAAUCAUCGAAUCUUUGAACGCACAUUGCGCCCCUUGGUAUUCCGAGGGGCAUGCCUGUUCGAGCGUCAUUUCAACCCUCAAGCUCUGCUUGGUACUGGGCCCCGUCCUCCACGGACGCGCCUUAAAGACCUCGGCGGUGGCGUCUUGCCUCAAGCGUAGUAGAAAACACCUCGCUUUGGAGCGCACGGCGUCGCCCGCCGGACGAACCUUUGAAUUAUUUCUCAAGGUUGACCUCGGAUCAGGUAGGGAUACCCGCUGAACUUAAGCAUAUCAAUAAGCGGAGGA
rnacentral:rRNA from 1 species